GACGCCAAAUCCCGCCGCGGCCCGUCUCUUUGGUAUCCUAGCUGUAGGCGUCCCGUGAGCCCUAAAGUUAUGGUACCGAAGUUACGAGUCGCGUCGCACGCA
rnacentral:pre_miRNA from 1 species